UACGAGUGGUCCGAGCGUUAUCCGGAUUCAUUGGGCGUAAAGCGUCCGCAGGUGGUCGCCCAAGUUUUUCGUUAAAUGUUUAGGCUCAACCUGAACACCGCGAGAAACACUAGGCGACUUGAGGCUGGGAGAGGGAAACGGAACGGCUGGUGUAGGGGUAAAAUCCGUUCAUAUCAGCUGGAACACCAAAGGCGAAGGCAGUUUCCUAGAACAGACCUGACACUCAUGGACGAAAGCGUGGGGAACAAAAGGAUUAGAACC
rnacentral:rRNA from 1 species